AUGGAGAUGAAACCCAAAAGAUUUUCGUUGGGGCGUAACCCUCUCAGCGACGUGCCACAUCGGAACCCGGGUGUGGUGGAAAAUGGGCAAGGGCCGGGCCGUCACCUCCCAAGUGGCGCGCCGUAUCUUGAUCCGGAUACGGUGGCAAGUGAGCGAGAAUCGGGUCGUCGCAUCCUUAGUGGCGCGCUACAUCGGCGCCCGGAUGUAGUGGAAAAUGAGCAAGGGUCUUCGCAUUUGGCUCGACGAGUGCGAAGGGUAAGGAAGCUAGCCGAGCGUAGGAGGAUUCGCUUAGGUAGCUGGAACGUAGGGUCUCUGACAGGGAAGCUUCGGGAGCUAGUUGAUGCAGCAGUGAGGAGAGGUGUUGAUAUCCUUUGCGUCCAAGAAACCAAAUGGAGAGGACAGAAGGCGAAGGAGGUGGAGGAUACCGGCUUCAAGCUGUGGUACACGGGGACGGCUGCAUACAGAAAUGGCGUAGGCAUCUUGAUCAACAAGAGCCUCAAGUAUGGAGUGGUAGACGUCAGGAGACGUGGGGACCGGAUUAUCCUGGUCAAGCUGGUAGCUGAGGACUUGGUUCUCAAUGUUAUCAGCGCAUAUGCCCCGCAAGUAGGCCACAAUGAGAACACCAAGAGGGAGUUCUGGGAAGGCUUGGAAGACAUGGUUAGGAGUGUACCAAUUGGUGAGAAGCUCUUCAUAGGAGGAGACCUCAAUGGCCACGUGGGUACAUCUAACACAGGUUUUGAAGGGGCGCAUGGGGGCUUUGGCUAUGGCAUCAGGAAUCAAGAAGGAGAAGAUGUCUUAAGCUUUGCUCUAGCCUACAACAUGAUUGUAGCUAACACCCUCUUU
rnacentral:rRNA from 1 species